UACGUAGGCAGCGAGCGUUGUUCGGAAUUACUGGGCGUAAAGAGCUCGUAGGCGGUUUCGUAAGUCGGAUGUGAAAACUCCAGGCUCAACUUGGAGACGCCAUUUGAUACUGCGAUGACUUGAGUCCGGUAGGGGAGUGUGGAAUUCCUGGUGUAGCGGUGAAAUGCGCAGAUAUCAGGAGGAACACCGGCGGCGAAGGCGGCACUCUGGGCCGGUACUGACGCUGAGGAGCGAAAGCGUGGGUAGCAAACAGG
rnacentral:rRNA from 1 species